AGGCUUAACACAUGCAAGUCGAGCGGGUGUAGCAAUACACCAGCGGCAGACGGGUGAGUAACGCGUGGGAACGUACCUUUUGGUUCGGAACAACCCAGGGAAACUUGGACUAAUACCGGAUAAGCCCUUACGGGGAAAGAUUUAUCGCCGAAAGAUCGGCCCGCGUCUGAUUAGCUAGUUGGUGAGGUAAUGGCUCACCAAGGCGACGAUCAGUAGCUGGUCUGAGAGGAUGAUCAGCCACAUUGGGACUGAGACACGGCCCAA
rnacentral:rRNA from 1 species